UACGAAGGGGGCUAGCGUUGUUCGGAAUCACUGGGCGUAAAGCGCACGUAGGCGGAUUGUUAAGUCAGGGGUGAAAUGCCAGGGCUCAACCUUGGAACUGCCUUUGAUACUGGCAAUCUCGAGUCCGGGAGAGGUGAGUGGAACUGCGAGUGUAGAGGUGAAAUUCGUAGAUAUUCGCAAGAACACCAGUGGCGAAGGCGGCUCACUGGCCCGGUACUGACGCUGAGGUGCGAAAGCGUGGGGAGCAAACAGG
rnacentral:rRNA from 1 species